AGACCCGAAACCCGGUGAUCUAGCCAUGGGCAGGUUGAAGGUUGGGUAACACUAACUGGAGGACCGAACCGACUAAUGUUGAAAAAUUAGCGGAUGACCUGUGGCUGGGGGUGAAAGGCCAAUCAAACCGGGAGAUAGCUGGUUCUCCCCGAAAGCUAUUUAGGUAGCGCCUCGUGAAUUCAUCUCCGGGGGUAGAGCACUGUUUCGGCUAGGGGGCCAUCCCGGCUUACCAACCCGAUGCAAACUGCGAAUACCGGAGAAUGUUAUCACGGGAGACACACGGCGGGUGCUAACGUCCGUCGUGAAGAGGGAAACAACCCAGACCGCCAGCUAAGGUCCCAAAGUCAUGGUUAAGUGGGAAACGAUGUGGGAAGGCCCAGACAGCCAGGAUGUUGGCUUAGAAGCAGCCAUCAUUUAAAGAAAGCGUAAUAGCUCACUGGUCGAGUCGGCCUGCGCGGAAGAUGUAACGGGGCUAAACCAUGCACCGAAGCUGCGGCAGCGAACGUAUCACUUAAAGCGAUUCAGCGGGUUACGAUUGACAGAGCGAAGCGACGUCAAAGCGUAUACAAAGUCGAGUCGGUUUAAGGAUACGUUCGUUGGGUAGGGGAGCGUUCUGUAAGCCUGCGAAGGUGGCCUGUGAGGGUUGC
rnacentral:rRNA from 1 species